UCCCUCACAAGACCUCAGUUCUGCAAACAUCAAAUGAGUAACUAUUUGCUGUCAGGCUUGGACUUUUUUUUUAUCUUGAAAGGAAUGUUAAGAUUGAAAAGAAUAUAAACCAGAAGUAGGGUAACAAAGGGCACAGUAAAAACCGCAAGACUUUAUGCAUCAUGUGUUGUAAAAGUCAUGUGCCAUUAUUUCAUUUCUCAAUGAGCCAUGUUUGAGUUCUUUUUAAACUUGUGACAACUCAGACUGUUAAACAGAUCUGAGAAAUGUGAGCAGCAUCUGCGUUGACUUUCUGCUUUCCCUCAUUAAUAAAUUGCUCUUCUCUUUUUUAUAAACCAAUCUACCAUCAUCAUCAUCAUCAUCAUCGUUUUAGAUUUGAUAGUCAAACAUAAAAUGUCUCCAUAUUGGUGAUUUAAUUGUUACAGCUCUAUUUGACAGAAUAGCAUCUUCCCAAGUCAACCAGUGUCAAGGAAAAAUUCUCAUUGUAGAAACUGAUUGGAAUAAACCUCAAGCCCUGAGACCUGAGAAGCCCUUAAUUUGCAAUUCGCCCAAGGGCAUAAUUUGCUUUUUUAAUUUAGCUUU